rnacentral:rRNA from 1 species
UAAAACUCAAAGGAAUUGACGGGGACCCGCACAAGCGGUGGAUUAUGUGGAUUAAUUCGAUGCAACGCGAAAAACCUUACCUACCCUUGACAUGUCCGAGAGCCCGCAGAGAUGUGGGUGUGCCCGAAAGGGAAUCGGAACACAGGUGCUGCAUGGCUGUCGUCAGCUCGUGUCGUGAGAUGUUGGGUUAAGUCCCGCAACGAGCGCAACCCUUGUCAUUAGUUGCUACAUUCAGUUGGGCACUCUAAUGAGACUGCCGGUGACAAACCGGAGGAAGGUGGGGAUGACGUCAAGUCCUCAUGGCCCUUAUGGGUAGGGCUUCACACGUAAUACAAUGGCGCGUACAGAGGGUUGCGAAGGAGCGAUCUGGAGCCAAUCCCUUAAAGCGCGUCGUAGUCCGGAUUGCAGUCUGCAACUCGACUGCAUGAAGUCGGAAUCGCUAGUAAUCGCGGAUCAGCAUGUCGCGGUGAAUACGUUCCCGGGUCUUGUACACACCGCCCGUCACACCAUGGGAGUGGGUUUCACCAGAAGCCGGUCGCCUAACCGCAAGGAGGGCGCCGACCACGGUGAGAUUCAUGACUGGGGUG